ACUUGGUAGGAUGGUUCCCAAAAACCCCCUCAAGCCUCUGCUUCCCUAAUCUGGAACAAUUCUGCCUGACACAGUGCUCCGGCAGCACAGAGAAAGGCAAGGAUCGGGACAGCUCAACCUACAUACGAUGUGCGUGCCUCCCCAUGAUGAUCCAAGUUUAACUCUCUGUCCGGUAUUCUCUGAUGCUGUUCCUGGGGAUAGGGACACUCCAGCCACACAAUCGCAGCUGACGGCAUCUGCAAUCCUUCCUUCUAGUGAUGAAGCCAAUCACUAGAAGGCGAGAGGGAUGCUCUCCAGGACAAUUCCUGUGAGCCUGACUCAGAAGACCAGCAGUCUGUCCGUGAACCUGUUACCCUCGAGAAUUUGAUCUUCUUUCCGCAAUAUCUUGUGGUGGCCACUUCUUCCUCUUCUCUGACUUCCUAUCAGCUUUUCUUUUUCUUUUUUCUUUUU